CCUCCCUGCUCCCGCCCCCCUCCUUCCGCCUCGGCUCCCCGCACCGCAGCUGUGCUCGCCUGGAAAGGGGGGGGGGGGCUCUCAUCACAAUGAUCGAUGAGCUUGUCAGGCUCCGGGGGCCACUCCCGCCUGGCGGGCACCCUUCCCACAUGCGCGGGUGCCCCCCUCCUGCGCCGAGGAGGGGGCCUACCCCCUCCAGCUCCUCUCCUCUCCUGCUUCUUAGAUACAGGGAAUCAAAGAGUCUGACGGGACUUUGAAAGAUCCGCAUCAGCUGGUCAUCGGGACCCAGGCCUGGGGAAGAGUCGCAUCUCUACUGCUCAGGCGCACACUUGCUCGCUUGCUCACUUGAUGUUGGCAGUAAACAGGGUGCGAGAUGGGAGGCCACCGUCCCACCCUCCUCUCUCCCACCUCCCAGCUGCCCUGGGGCCAGACUCACCUGCUGCAGCAUGAGCGCCUGUUGCUGCUGGAGCAAGGCCUGCAGCUGUGGGGGCGACAGGAUCUGCUGCAUCUGUUGGGGGAAGGCACUGCAUGGCCAGGGCCUGACCUCCUCAUCCUGGGAGGACUGAACUGGAGAUGGACAUGGCCCAGGCAGGGAGACAGCCCAGACACCAUAGGGCUGUGAGUCAUGAGAGACACAGCGAGAGAGGAAACACAAACAGAGG